rnacentral:rRNA from 1 species
UGCAAGUCGAACGAGACCUUCGGGUCUAGUGGCGCACGGGUGCGUAACGCGUGGGAAUCUGCCCUUAGGUACGGAAUAACUCAGAGAAAUUUGUGCUAAUACCGUAUGAUGUCGAAAGACCAAAGAUUUAUCGCCUAAGGAUGAGCCCGCGUAAGAUUAGCUUGUUGGUGAGGUAAAAGCUCACCAAGGCGACGAUCUUUAGCUGGUCUGAGAGGAUGAUCAGCCACACUGGGACUGAGACACGGCCCAGACUCCUACGGGAGGCAGCAGUGGGGAAUAUUGGACAAUGGGCGAAAGCCUGAUCCAGCAAUGCCGCGUGAGUGAUGAAGGCCUUAGGGUUGUAAAGCUCUUUUACCAGGGAUGAUAAUGACAGUACCUGGAGAAUAAGCUCCGGCUAACUCCGUGCCAGCAGCCGCGGUAAUACGGAGGGAGCUAGCGUUGUUCGGAAUUACUGGGCGUAAAGGGUACGUAGGCGGUGAUUCAAGUCAGAGGUGAAAGCCUGGAGCUCAACUCCAGAACUGCCUUUGAAACUAGAUCGCUAGAAUUAUGGAGAGGUUAGUGGAAUUCCGAGUGUAGAGGUGAAAUUCGUAGAUAUUCGGAAGAACACCAGUGGCGAAGGCGACUAACUGGACAUAUAUUGACGCUGAGGUACGAAAGCGUGGGGAGCAAACAGGAUUAGAUACCCUGGUAGUCCACGCCGUAAACGAUGAUAACUAGCUGUUCGGGGUCUACGAUCUUGAGUGGCGCAGCUAACGCAUUAAGUUAUCCGCCUGGGGAGUACGGUCGCAAGAUUAAAACUCAAAGGAAUUGGCGGGGGCCUGCACAAGCGGUGGAGCAUGUGGUUUAAUU